GGAAGCAGCCCUGAGGGAGGGAGUCCUGUGCGGAGUGUAU
rnacentral:SRP_RNA from 1 species